GAUGAACGCUGGCGGCGUGCUUAACACAUGCAAGUCGAACGGAAAGGCUCCUGCUUGCAGGGGUACUCGAGUGGCGAACGGGUGAGUAACACGUGGGUGAUCUGCCCUGCACUUCGGGAUAAGCCUGGGAAACUGGGUCUAAUACCGGAUAGGACGAUGGUUUGGAUGCCAUUGUGGAAAGUUUUUCGGUGUGGGAUGAGCUCGCGGCCUAUCCGCUUGUUGGUGUGGUAAUGGCCUACCAAGGCGUCGACGGGUAGCCGGCCUGAGAGGGUGUACGGCCACAUUGGGACUGAGAUACGGCCCAGAAUCCUACGGGAGGCAGCAGUGGGGAAUAUUGCAAAAUGGGCGCAAGCCUGAUGCAGCGACGCCGCGUGGGGGAUGACGGCCUUCGGGUUGUAAACUCCUUUCGCUAGGGACGAAGCGCAAGUGACGGUACCUGGAGAAGAAGCACCGGCUAACUACGUG
rnacentral:rRNA from 1 species